rnacentral:rRNA from 1 species
ACCGGCGGCUCGAGUGGUGGCCACUAUUACUGGGCUUAAAGCGUUCGUAGCUGGCUUGUUAAGUCUCUGGGGAAAUCUUCCGGCUCAACCGGAAGGCGUCUCAGGGAUACUGGCAGGCUAGGGACCGGAAGAGGUGAGAGGUACUCCAGGGGUGUGAGUGAAAUCCUGUAGUCCUUGGGGGACCAGCUGUGGCGGAGGGGGCACACCAGGACGGCUCCGACAGUGAGGAACGAAAGCUGGGGGAACAAAACG